rnacentral:rRNA from 1 species
CGGAAGGGGGGGGGCCGGCCAUAUAAUGCAAGUCGAACGCCCCGCAAGGGGAGUGGCAGACGGGUGAGUAACGCGUGGGAACAUACCCUUUCCUGCGGAAUAGCUCCGGGAAACUGGAAUUAAUACCGCAUACGCCCUACGGGGGAAAGAUUUAUCGGGGAAGGAUUGGCCCGCGUUGGAUUAACUAGUUGGUGGGGUAAAGGCCUACCAAGGCGACGAUCCAUAGCUGGUCUGAGAGGAUGAUCAGCCACAUUGGGACUGAGACACGGCCCAAACUCCUACGGGAGGCAGCAGUGGGGAAUAUUGGACAAUGGGCGCAAGCCUGAUCCAGCCAUGCCGCGUGAGUGAUGAAGGCCUUAGGGUUGUAAAGCUCUUUCACCGAUGAAGAUAAUGACGGUAGUCGGAGAACCGCCCCGGCUAACUUCGUGCCAGCAGCCGCGGUAAUACGAAGGGGGCUAGCGUUGUUCGGAAUUACUGGGCGUAAAGCGCACGUAGGCGGAUAUUUAAGUCGGGGGUGAAAUCCCGCACCUCAACUGCGGAACUGCCUUUGAUACUGGGUAUCUUGAGUAUGGAAGAGGUAAGUGGAAUUCCGAGUGUAGAGGUGAAAUUCUUAUAUGUUCUGAGGAACACCAGUGGCGAAGGCGGCUUACUGGUCCAUUACUGACGCUGAGGUGCGAAACGUGGGGAGCAGACAGAUUAUAUACCCUGGUAUUCCACGCCCGUAGAGAUGAAGGUUAGCCUUCGGGCAGGAUACUGUUCGGUGGCGCACCUAACGCAUUAAAAUUUCCGCCUGGGGAGUACGGUCGCAAGAUUAAAACUGAAAGAAUUGACGGGGGCCCGCACAGCGGUGAGCAUGUGGGUUAAUUCAAACAACUCCAGAACUUACCCUCUCUUGACUUCGGGGUAUGGGCAUUGAAGACGAUUUCCCUUCAUUAGGGCGUGCCCGCAACCAGGUGCUGCAA